CAGUAGCCGCGGGAAUACGUAGGGUGCGAGCGUUAAUCGGAAUUACUGGGCGUAAAGCGUGCGCAGGCGGUUAUAUAAGACAGAUGUGAAAUCCCCGGGCUCAACCUGGGACCUGCAUUUGUGACUGUAUAGCUAGAGUACGGUAGAGGGGGAUGGAAUUCCGCGUGUAGCAGUGAAAUGCGUAGAUAUGCGGAGGAACACCGAUGGCGAAGGCAAUCCCCUGGGCCUGUACUGACGCUCAUGCACGAAAGCGUGGGGAGCAAACAGGAUUAGAUACCCCUGUAGUCCCUGUCUCUUAUAC
rnacentral:rRNA from 1 species